rnacentral:lncRNA from 1 species
CAAGAUGCCACUUUUCUUUACUUACUCUAUUGUAUUUGACAUUUUGCUUUUUACAGGUUACUUGUAAAAGCCCCGGUGAGGAGUGAUCCCCAUCUGGGGCAUGUUCCAGCAGACGUGGUGGGGUGUGACAGCGAGGAACGCCCGCUGCCUGACUCGUCCUCAAGCUUGCUGCAUCCUCGCUGCCUGCCGUCACCCUGCACAGGAGGAGCUCCAAGGUCGCACGUGUCCCCACGGCAAGCCUGCUCCUUGUAAUGCAAGAUAUGGCUCCUUGGGGGCUGGCAGAAUCAUGCCAUCAGGACUGAGCGGAUGACACACUACUGAUUUGCAUCAUUAGAGAUCCUUGCUGAUGGCUAAACUGCUUUGCAUCUAAAUGAGACCUAACCUGAACAGCUGUUCAACUGGUACAUGUGAAGGAUUUACAGUGCUGGGUAAGGUCCCCUCUCACCACCAGUCUCCAAGGGAACUCUGCUCUGGGCUGCUAGAAAACAUGCAACUUUUCAUACCUAUGUGUCUGCAGCUUGGGCAGGGGGCAGAGGUUGGGGGACCAGAUGGCCAAAAAACAUCUUGAAGCCUUUUUACAUUUUAAAGCUAAAAUGUUCAUUUUUCAGUCUCUCUCUUUUCCUUGAAAUUAUCAUGCAUAUGAUGGAAGUGAUGCAAUUUUUAUUUUCCAUGUGUUGCACAUGCCCAUUGUCCGUGCCCAGAGAGAUGAUGCUGCCUCUGAGAGAUGAGCUGAGGACCCAGCCAGUCCACCUCCAUCACGCCCAGAGCAGCCAGGCUUUGACUGCCACUGUUCUCUGGCCCCAUGGAUUUGCCGGCCCAUGCACAGCUUUGUAAAAAUGCUCACACCUCCUUUGACCAUAUAGCCCAAGCUAGUUGCGUGUAGAGGGAUAGUACUAACUGUAUAGCAAAGGUCUGUCCUGCAUCCUAAGAUGCUGCUUGUGGAAGAAAUUGUGAUGAGGGCUUGCCUUACUCAAGCUGUAGACGAAGGCCCUUUGGGAAACUCUUUUUUUUCUGUGAUAUUUUCAGCUUAGUUUCCAAACCCACAGAGGCCUGGCAAAGACUGGUAGGCAGCCAAGCCUUGAGUGACUAUUCAUCUGCCUGAACCCUCCCUGUAGGGCUGCCUGUCUGUGGAGCAAACCACGUCGUCAAGGGCAUUGUUAACGAUGCGUCAGAGAUAAGAGUAGUUCUCAGCCCAGAGAGAGCCUUGAGAUGGUUUGGAUCCUUAGCUAAAGCACCAGGGAGGCCCAUAUCCCUAGAGCAGAGGCAGUAGUGCCCUGAAAUCUAAGGAGCAGAAAAAUACAUGCACUCUG